CCCCCCCCCGCCUUCACCUCACCUCUCCGUUACUCUCUGGAGAAUAAGACUGCAUCCACCAAACGGAGGUGGUUUUUCCUCCUGGUCUGCAGCCCUGAAGCAUGGAGGAGCGAGGCGCCAUCCGUCUUACCUCCGAUGCCUCCCACUUCCCAUUCAUGCAAAAGCCACGGCCAUUAUAUUUAAGUUAUUUAUUUUAUCACAAGACUGUGUAAUAAUUUAUAAUGUAAAUACUGAAAAUACUCUAUGAAUACAAAAAAGGACAAACGUGUAUGGAAAUAAUGACUCGACAACAAGGAAGGAAAAAAAACAAACAGGAAAGAUGAAGAAUAUUAAUAUAUGAAGAGCCUUCUAUGUACAUAGCAACCACGGUUAAAAAAAGAAAAGAAAAGUGAAGGUCUGCUGUUCUAGGGAACGUGAAGUUGUCAGUGCGUUUUUAUUUAGUGUGAGUUCUCCAGUUUGUCCCUGAAAUCAGGCUGAUGGAAGCGUUUUCGGGUCCAGAGGGACUCCUUUAGGGGGACGGGUCGAGCACAGAGAGGCUGCUAGCUGGACAGCUGACUGGCCGAGUUAAUAGGUCUGAAUGAUACUAAUUCUCCAGGACAAACGGCAUCUUAAUCAAUAACACACACACACACACACACACACACACAUACACACACACACACACACAUUCAAAUAUCAGUGGCAGCGUUUAUUUCAGUGGCAUAUUUUUUACAUAUUUUUAUACACUCAGAACUGUUACUGUUACUGUUAUCGUGUUCACGUUACUCUUGCUGCUUGUUUCGAUGUCGCCGCGGUGCCAGGUGGGCGGAGCUUAGCUAAUCCAACGCUCCCUACGCGCUAACAUUAGCCAAUCAAUCACAGGGAAGUCUAGGAAACUAACAGAUCUCAGACAUCACUAUGACCGUGAAGUGUUUCCACUGUGGUAAUCACGCUCAGUCCCAAAUCAAAGGGACUCAAACAAGCCAUAAAUAAAAUGCAGUUUUAUCAUCAUUUUAAAUAUAUUCUGUAAAUCGUAGUAACUCGCAGUGCAAACAAUAGGUAUCUGCUUGAAUAAGCUCAUUAGAAAUGUAAUUAAAACUCUAGUUAUUCAUGUUUUAUCCAAUGAUUUAGAUUUUAUGACGUAAUUGAAUUGUAGCUCAGCAUACACGAGAUAACAAGAGUAAACUUGUAUUUUUUCAGUAUUGGUGUUUGACUAAAUAUUGUGAUAUUACUAUGCUUUUAACUAUACCCUAACUCAGUGUCUGUUUUUUUUUUUUUUUAGACAAGUUAUGUGCCUGAAAUUAGAAUAAACUUUCAGUGAUUGUUACUGUUUUAACCUGUUUGCAUUCUAUAGCUAAAUAAAGUUGAUGAAGCAGAA